UGCUUAGUUGACUUCCAAGAAAUUGUUGUGCCGCCGUAUGUGAAUACAUAACCUGUCUGAGAUUUUGCUUUGUGAGGAUCUGAUAGAUAUCCGGCAUCAGCAUACCCAACAAGCUGGGACUUUUGAUCUUUCUGAUAGAAAAGACCUAAGUCUUGUGUCCCACAAAUAUACCGGAGUAUAUGUUUUACACCAUUCCAGUGUCUACGUGUUGGAUUCGAACUGUAUCUCGCUAGUACAUGUACUGCAAAUGCAAUGUCAGGUCUUGUGUUAUUUGCGAGAUACAUAAGGGCACCGAUCGCGCUUAAGUAUGGAUCCUUGUGUGGAUCUAGCGGUCGGACAACCAUAG
rnacentral:lncRNA from 1 species